rnacentral:rRNA from 1 species
UACAGAGGUCUCAAGCGUUGUUCGGAUUCAUUGGGCGUAAAGGGCGCGUAGGCGGCGGGGCAAGUCGGGUGUGAAAUCUCAGGGCUCAACCCUGAAACUGCACUCGAUACUGCGGUGCUUGAGGACUGGAGAGGAGACUGGAAUUCAUGGUGUAGCAGUGAAAUGCGUAGAGAUCAUGAGGAAGACCAGUGGCGAAGGCGGGUCUCUGGACAGUUCCUGACGCUGAGGCACGAAGGCCAGGGGAGCAAACGGG